AUGGCUUCAUCUCGUCGAUAUAAAGAGAAGAUAAGCUUGAUUGGUGUGGACCCAUAUCAGAUAGACCCAAUAGCCUUAAGUAAAGAUCCGUACUUAUUGCCAGCCGUAACUUAUCCGGAUAUUUACAACUAUCUCGUGCAUACAGUAUCCGCAUACACUUCGCAGGAGCUGAAAGCCUUCAAGUCACUUGAGUCAUAUAACUACUUCAUCUCUGGCAAAGUCGGCAGCCUUCUUACUUUUGUUCCACCAACGACAUCGUCAAACGUCGUCAUGAUCGCAGAGGUUAAACACAGUCAGAAGUUAAGUGCCCCACCUCUGCACCCAUGGGUUACUGCCCAGAAGGAUGGCAUUAUAUUGAUGACAUUAUUAGAAAAGCCAAUCCCAUCAGACAUCAUCUGCGUGUGCAAGCGACCAUACAAAGUUCUUGACCGUGUGGUGCAUUGUCACAGUUAGGACUGCCUUCAUAUAUGGUUCCAUCUCUCAUGUAUGAACGUAUGCCUAACAAGGGGAGCAAAUGGUACUGUUUGGUGUGUACAGCUGGAGUGUGAUGGUGAAGUAUGACACACACAUGAAAUGAGGAUUUUGAUGUAACAGGUUUUUAUUAUAAUUUGUAUGUGUAUUUGUAUUUACAGUUCAUUGUGUUUUGUCAUUCUAUACAAAAAAAUAUGAAAUUCAGUACCAUUUCUAAUGACUGGCUUUAAUGCUUAAAUGUAAGAUGUCUAUUAAAAUAACUUUGACUUAUUCCAUACUGAACCUGACUUUUGUGAUUAAGAUGUUAAGGUAACACAAUACAUCUAUUAAAGGGAUAGUUCACUUAAAAAUGAAAAUUGUCAUCAUAUAUUCAUCCUCAAGUUGUCUCAAUCCUGUAUGAAUUUGAAAGGAAAAUAUUCAUACAGGUUUGAAACAACUUGAAGGUGAGUAUAUGAUGACAAUUUUCAUUUGUGAACCAUACAUUUAACAACCCGUUUUACAACCACACACAUCUAAACAAAAGGUACAACCGAGGAGCACAUGUUGGUAAGGCAACAACACACUGUAGUUAUCUUAUCGAUAACCGCUAUCUCAGAUCCUGAUGUCACCAGGUAGGAGAUGGGUAUCUUCUCUGACAGUAUCCCGUAUUUAUUGCACACCAAUCCUAUCACUCUUUCUACAUGUAUGCGGACGUGUGCAAUUUUGCGGGUGGCCUCAACUUCAAGAGCAGACAGCUGUAGCUUUCCUCGAGUAUAACUGGGUGUUACAAAUUUUGCACAUUUUAACCCUACACUCUCUUGUAUAUUAAAAC
ensembl:lncRNA